rnacentral:sRNA from 1 species
UUUGUAACACCACCAAUGCUUGGGUUCUGUUCUGGACAAGGGCCUAAUCACAGAGUGGGGUAGGAGGUCCUGAAGGAGGAUAAGAACCAUUAGGGUGGCCGCUUCUGCAAGGACCCACACUGACCACCACCCUCCCUGACUUUUGCUUCAGAUCCAGUCUUCCCUAGGGCCACCAGCAGGUCAGGACCUCAAGCACAAAAGUUUCUACAGGAUAAAACAGGACAAUCGACCUCCCUAACAACUCUGAGAUCCUCAGUUAUGAUUUCCUACCUGAAGAUGCUUGGUUGGAUUUCUCUAUUAGAGACCUUUAAAGAAGUUGAAUUUUCUUUUAGGAAAACUCAGGUAACGACUGAGGAGUCAGCAAACAGUCAUGGAAUGGCGCCAUGUGUGGCUUGCUCCCUGCCAGCCAGUGGGUUAUCUUUUGGUAAAUUGCCUCUCUGUUUUAUUGCAACUGUCUCAGAUAGCCCAGGCUCAAGGUCAUUCUUCAAGUUCCUUAUAUGACUGCGUAUGACCUUGAUCUUUUGAUUUUUCCCGCCUCUACUGUCUGAAUGCUGGGAGUAUAGCCAUGUACCACCAGACCUGGUUUUACGGGAUCCUGCGGAUCAAAUCCAGGGCUUGGUUCAAGUAAGGCAAUCCUUCUGCCAACUGAGCUAGUGAGCCCCAUCUAAGAGACCACUCAACUCUAUUAAGAUGAGCCGAAAAGGGCAACUGAGUCCAGUUUUGGCUCUCUCUAGGUAACACUUCUCGGUGCCUCUCCAUAAACCACAAAGGUGGGAUCCAGAUGCCAUUUAAUACUGUAAUUACAUGGAGGCUGUUUGUUCAUCUAGUUUUGACUUCUCUGUCUGCUGUCUGGAAACAUUUUCUUUUGAGUGAGAUUCAUAUCUCAAGAAGCAAACAGAAAACUAAAAUUCAUGAGUGAGAAGUGGAGAAAAGAUCACUACAACCCCUUGCAAAAUAAAGGGUAUGCACACAACCCCCUGGAUGCACUUCCUAAAAUAGGUGUGUGCCAUUCUGCUCAGCACCCCAGUGCCUGUCCUGGGAGUAGCUGUUCGUGGGCUGUUCUAAUAGAGUGCUAUUAAAUGAUGAGGACAAGAAGUUCUCUUUAGACACUAUGCCCGGAGAGGACGGUCCCAUGCAAAUUCUCCUAUUGUCAUUCUUUUAGCUCAGAUUUAUAAUUGACUUUCUGUUAGCCAUCGUAGCAAGUUAAAUUAAUGCAGCAGGAUUACAGUCGUUAAACAAAUGCUGGGUAAUGCCUGCUUGCUUAUUUUAGCAGUUCCUCAAACCACUGUGGUAGUGCCCACAUAAAGCUUUUGGCUCCAUUGUCACAUUAAUUGAGCUGUACAUGGAGUUUCACCACAGAAGCGAACAUGCCGCUUCGUAGCAAUGAGCAUGAUUUAGGGCUUCUGCCGGACCAAUUUACCUUUGUGUUUUCUCCGUUGCACCUGCUAUUGUCUUAGGUACAAUUUAUGAGUUCAUGACAUCAUCCAUGUAGCUUAAGACAAUUUCUACCUGAUUUAAGGACAGAAGAAGAGGAGGAAGAAUAGAGGGGGUGGGGAAGGAAAAAGAGUUUUUAAAACGGAAACAGCGGCAAAAAUUGUUCCGCACACACCGCAAGAAACCCAAGAGACAUACAUGGUCAGUGAUGGUUUUAACUCAUUUCUGCAUGGAUCAGUCACUUCAGGAAUGGCCUGCCAGCUAAAAGAGCGGGAGAGAAAUAAUUCUUUCAGUCUUGAGUUAAAACCGCAUUGGCACAAAUACAUGGAAGAAAUGAUUGUCAGCCGGACGGACUUAGCCUGCAGUCCACCUGCAGGACCCUGUUGAUGUCCAGGGUCAUCUGCCUGGUGCCACCUUAGAAACUGUCCUGAUUCUGUACAGGACACUGAAUGAUAACACCCUGCAAGUCAGCUGACUGCUGUGUCAUACUGCAUUCCUGCAGAUGCCAGUCGAGAUGCGGCAGAGGCAGACAGCUAGGCACAGAGGAGCCGAGUUGUAAACUUUGCUUUUCCUGAUGCUGCCUACUGUCGCGCAUACGAAGAACAUUACCUCUGUGUAGCCAGGAGCUGAGAUGCAGUCUGAAUGUGCACGGUGGCUUCUGACGUGGCAGCGUGAAUUCUCAGCUGGGCAGUUCAAAAGACACGUACAGAAGCUCUCAUCUAUACUGUCAUCCAUCUGGUUCCUACAAACACUGUCCUGCACCAUGACUGGAAGAAGAAGCAUUUGGAGGUUUCCCCAAGAAACUAGUUGAAUUGAGUCCUGAUGCUUUACAGCCACUAAGAAUAAUCAAUGCCCCUGCCUCUUUCAAAGCUGCUGUCAGGUGGGUACUGACUAUAUUAUAUGACUGCAAAAGUCACUAGAAACUUCUCUGGAGUUUCCAUAAGUAAAGGAAUCUUCAUAAAGGAUUUGGAACAAAAGUGCCUGUCAGAGAGAGAAGGGAAUUAUAUAGAAUGUCUGAAAUUCUCCCUGUAGCUGACCAAGCCCAAGGAAGAGAGUUGUCCUCAAGGCUCACACUGUCCUUAAAGGAAAAAAAAAUGAUCUUGGGAUAUGCAGCCUUGUGAUGGUUCAUCUUGACUAGAUUUGGAAAGGCCAAGGACACAUCUCUGGGUAUGUCUUAAAAGGCAUUUCUACAGGGGAUUAAUGGAAGAUUAAUUAAUUCACCAUCCUGAAUGUGGUUGGUACCAACUCAUGGGUUAGAGGCUGGGCUGAAUAAAAAAGAAUACAUGAGCUGAACGUUAGCAUUUAUCUCUCUGUUUCCUGACUAGGGAUGCAGUGUAACCAUAUACCUCCUGUUUCUGCCACCAUUGCUUUCCCACUGUGAUAGACUGUGCACACUCAAGCUAUAAGCCAAGAUAAUCCCUGCCCUCCUUAGAUCCUUUUCCCAGGUAUUUUUGUCACAGCAAUGCUAACAUAAGCACAUAGCUUGGGUUUAGGGUCAUUAACCCUAAGAGGAAAAAAAUCUAUUCAAAGUAAGCAGUUGUAAACAAAUAAUAGACAUUAGCAGAGUGGUUUUAAGUAAAGAAUAAUUCCUUCCUAAACCUCUGCCCCAGCUUCCGGGUACACUACUCAACAUAUGCAUAAGUACCUCAGAGUUUGUCAAAACAAACAAAAUUGGGCAAUCCCUUACAGAAGAAGAUUAUGAAUUCAGUUUGCUCAUGUUUCUCUUUCCUAAAAACAAAGAUAUUCUGGUCCUCCGUCAUCUGACUUGUUUCAAUAACAGUGUGUUUAGUACAGAAAACCACAGCCGCACAUCUGCUGCUAAUAAAAGUUCCUGAUCGGCGAUGCCCGUUGCCUUUCAAAAUGCAUUUCCUUUGCUCCCAAACUGGUCAUGGGCCUAGCCAAAGCUUGUUUCUGUUCUCAAGACAAAUGACACUGUGCUUAUUCCAAGAGGAACAAACGACCAAGUUGAAUCUGUGUCAGCCACUGAAGGAAACAUUGAUUUAGAAGAACUGUGAGCUUUGACUUAAGGAAGAGGCCACUACUAUCCAGUCAAGAACAUCAGCAGGCUCUGGUCCCUGCUUACAGUUCCCUAGAGGGUGAGCCUCAGAACACCUUACAGAGAACCAAGGAGCACUAAUUAUACCCUGAUCAGCUCAAUAGCAAGAGGAUCCAGAAGAUACCCAGGUCCUGGGGACACUAACAGAGAGCCUGAACCAUAGUCUGAUCAUCAGUAGAUGUGGCACAAGGACCCUCAGGAGAUGAACAGAUGACAGUGGAGAAUGUCAGUAAAUGGCGCACUCUAUGUCUUGGCCAUCAUUCAUUGUUUCCCAAAGGCUCCUGUGAGCCCUUGUCAGCUGCCAUGCAGUGUUUGAGGUAUAGGAGAAACAAGCUCAAACAGAAAGGAUAUAAAGAAACACUGUCCUCCUCGACCUGUGCUUUUAAAAAGCUAGCAGAUAAGAUGUAGUUUCAACCAACAUGUUACUUGGAGUCUUGUGUAGCCCAGGCUGACCUCAAUCUUGGUAUGUGACUGAGAAUAACCUUGAACUUCUGAUCUCCUGCUCCCACCUUCCACAGGUUGAGAUUACAAGCCUGUGCCACCAUACUCAGUUUAUGUGGCGACCGGGAUCAAAGUCAGAGCCUCCUGUAGGCACUCUGCCAACAUAGCUACUUGUACUGGAUGGUUUUGUGUGUCAGCUUGACACAAGUUAGAGUCACCAGAAGGAAAGGAGCCUCAGUUGAGAAAAAUGCCUCCAUGAGAUCUAGCUGUAGGGCAUUUUCUUAAUUAGCGAUUGAUAGUGGAAGGUCCAGCCCAUUAUGAGUGGGGCCAUCCCUUGGCUGGUGGUCCUGGGUUCUACAAGUAUGCAGGCUGAGCAAGCCUAGUGGAAGCCAGGAGAAGCCA